rnacentral:rRNA from 1 species
GAUGAACGCUGGCGGCGUGCCUAAUACAUGCAAGUCGAGCGAACAGACGAGGAGCUUGCUCCUCUGACGUUAGCGGCGGACGGGUGAGUAACACCUGGAUAACCUACCUAUAAGACUGGGAUAACUUCGGGAAACCGGAGCUAAUACCGGAUAAUAUAUUGAACCGCAUGGUUCAAUAGUGAAAGACGGUUUUGCUGUCACUUAUAGAUGGAUCCGCGCCGCAUUAGCUAGUUGGUAAGGUAACGGCUUACCAAGGCGACGAUGCGUAGCCGACCUGAGAGGGUGAUCGGCCACACUGGAACUGAGACACGGUCCAGACUCCUACGGGAGGCAGCAGUAGGGAAUCUUCCGCAAUGGGCGAAAGCCUGACGGAGCAACGCCGCGUGAGUGAUGAAGGUCUUCGGAUCGUAAAACUCUGUUAUUAGGGAAGAACAAAUGUGUAAGUAACUAUGCACGUCUUGACGGUACCUAAUCAGAAAGCCACGGCUAACUACGUG